CGAGUAAGCUGUACGGACAAGAAGAGGAGCGAUCCUCUUUUAGGAAAGUCCGGGCACCAAAGGGCAAGGAUAGCUGCUAACGGCAGCCGAGGGCGACCUCAGGGCAAGUGCAACAGAGAUAUACCGCCGAUUUUUCGGUAAGGAUGGAAAGGCGAGG
rnacentral:RNase_P_RNA from 1 species